rnacentral:rRNA from 1 species
UAAAACUCAAAUGAAUUGACGGGGGCCCGCACAAGCGGUGGAGCAUGUGGUUUAAUUCGAUGCAACGCGAAGAACCUUACCUGGUCUUGACAUCCACAGAACUUAGCAGAGAUGCUUUGGUGCCUUCGGGAACUGUGAGACAGGUGCUGCAUGGCUGUCGUCAGCUCGUGUUGUGAAAUGUUGGGUUAAGUCCCGCAACGAGCGCAACCCUUAUCCUUUG